CUUAACAAGCAUGUGUGAACAAUAAAAAUAACAGGUAACAUUUAUAUAAUGCAAGGAUGUGUCAGUCACUGCUCUCAGCUUUCUCUGUCUGUAUCACUCUAUCUGUAAUCCCUAUAACCAUCCCAUAAACCAGGAAACAAAGGCCCAGAAAGGUUAAGUAAAGCCAUAUAGUUGUUAGGUGGUGGACCAAUGCUUUGAAUACAGGUGUUCUUGGAAGACGUGCAGGUCAGAGAGAAGCAUGGACACAUGGGUAAGUGUGACCUUCCAAUGGGGGAGGAGGGUGAUGAGACAUGGAGUUUGGUGUCUUAUGCAAAACUUCUUUGGGGUUUUAUGCCCCUGAUAGAAUAAUAAUUUAUGCUCCUGGUAGAAUGAUAGUCUUCUAGACCAAAUGGUUCAAACCAAGAGACUGACUUCUUGCUCUCUCACAAAGACACAUAUUUGUCACUGACGCUUUCCCAUUGAGCCACUGGGCUUCCCAUGGACCUUGAGGAAUGAGAGACCUUUGGGAGGCUCUUGUUUCUAGAUAUGAGAGCGGAGGCAAGACUGGGAAAUAUCUGGCACUCCUGGCUGUCUCAUUCUCGAGACAAGAGGGAACACUAACUUUGGCUUCUGCUGGAGAUUGAUGUCUGUGCAUGAAGCUCAUGCCCAAAGAGAAAAGGGGCUGCGACAUGUUGGAGAACUGGUCCCAAUUCUUCACCCUUCUAUGUAUCCACACGCUAGCCAUGGCCUCCUUGUGGAUGGUGUAUACUUCUGCCCUGGCCUGGGACUUGUCCAUGUGAUUUGCUUCAGCCAAUGGCAUAUGAGUGGAAGUGGCAAUAUGCCAAUUCUGAGCCUAGAUCUACGAGACUUUGCCUGUUUUGGCUUGCUCUGUUAUGGAACAUUCCCCAGUUAGUCUGCUGGAAGGGAAAGGGCAACAGAAGUGCGAACCCACAGUGUGGACUAGAGCCAUUCUAGCUGCCGCAGCCUGAAUCAACCAGCCCACACACGACCAAGCCCAGCUGAGAUCAGCAGAGCCUGCCCAGGCGUCCUGCAGUUGUAUGAGAUAAAUAAUACGCACUGUUUUAAGCCACUUUGAUUCUCUGGUUCUUUGUUAUGCAGCAAUAGCUAAUCAAGACAAGCAGUUUCUAUCUCCCAGCUCUAGUUUGAAAAGUUCCAGGGAAGAGUGAUCUGACCUCACUUGUUUCAAAGGCCCAAAUCUGUCACCAGCCACUCAGAUAUCUUAAGAACAGGGUAACGGUGCUGGUUGUCACACAAAAGUGAGAACUUUCUACUCAGUAAUACACCUGUAUUUUUGUGUGUGUCGAAUUUAAAAUAUUCCAGUCAUCAAUCAUUUAAAACUAACAUAAAAAUUGAGAUUAGUUAAUACAGUAAAUAAUAAAACUAUGUGUAAUUAAAACUUCAUUAUGGCCAGAGAGCAUAGAAAAAGAAGAAGGAAAAGAAGAAGAUGCAAAACACAAUAUUUGCCCAAAAUCCAAGAAGGAGCAAUAUUUCCUUAGAUAAAAACAAUUAAAAAGUAUAUUUGAUAAUAAACAUAUUUUAAAAUCUAAGUAAGAAAGAAAUAAAAUUUUUGAAAAUAUCAUUUUACCCCAACUGAGAAAAAUAGAAACUGUUUUUCCCAGGGAAGUAAAGAAUAUUGUCUCUCAAUUCACAGGUAAAAAGGCUGCAUUUAAUAUCUUCUCUUUGCCAUCUGGCUACAAGCAUCAGCUCCUAGCAAGGGAUUAGCAUAAUCUGCUCUGGUGCCAAACGCAGAGGCCUAAGGUGGGAGGAAGAUAUAGAAGGAAUCUAGCUAGAAAAGUGAGGGAAAAGAGAAAGAAAUAGUAGGCUGGGAGCAGAGA
ensembl:lncRNA